rnacentral:rRNA from 1 species
GACGAACGCUGGCGGCGUGCUUAACACAUGCAAGUCGAACGGAAAGGCCCUGCUUUUGUGGGGUGCUCGAGUGGCGAACGGGUGAGUAACACGUGAGUAACCUGCCCUUGACUUUGGGAUAACUUCAGGAAACUGGGGCUAAUACCGGAUAGGAGCUCCUGCUGCAUGGUGGGGGUUGGAAAGUUUCGGCGGUUGGGGAUGGACUCGCGGCUUAUCAGCUUGUUGGUGGGGUAGUGGCUUACCAAGGCUUUGACGGGUAGCCGGCCUGAGAGGGUGACCGGCCACAUUGGGACUGAGAUACGGCCCAGACUCCUACGGGAGGCAGCAGUGGGGAAUAUGGCACAAUGGGCGGAAGCCUGAUGCAGCAACGCCGCGUGCGGGAUGACGGCCUUCGGGUGGUAAACCGCUGUCGCCUGUGACGAAGCGUGAGUGACGGUAAUGGGUAAAGAAGCACCGGCUAACUACGUG